UGAAAGAGUGAACAGGUAUCAGUGAAUACGGCAGUAGUAUUUUUGCGGUAACGUGGUGUAUUAAGAAGAAACAACGUCGAUAUACAAUAAUAAAGAUCUCUAUAAAAUCUGUCGAUGUAUCUGUGGAACAACUCUUAGAUGACUAUUUAAAGCUCGAUGUGAUUGACGAUGUUCGAUUAACAAUCUUCACGGUGCCUCGGUGUGACGUGUUCUUUCGCAGAAAUCAGCGAAACUGGCGCCGCUCGAAGCGUGGUACAGCUAACAACGAGUGCGAUGCAUUCUUGCAGUCUCGAAUUGGGAUGACAAGCUGGCAGCAUCUAGUAACUCGUGUUCAGCUGCCAAGCUGUACGUGAAUUCAUGUCAUCGCACCUUGGACUGGGUGUCUGAGUAGAGUGACUUCGCUAGACGAGAUUUUUCGAGUGGAUCCUCGAGAAAGCGUGACGUCACACGGUUGAUUCUUCGCCGGAAGAGGCCAAAAUCGAAUCUAUUUUUACGAGGAAAAAUCGUGUUCCGCGUCUCGAAAUAAAAUCGAGCCACGCGACGCUAUAUCUCUUCGCGUUGACAUGUAUACGUAAAAUACAUAAAUAUCGCACCGUGAUCCACACAAAUUCAUUCAACC
rnacentral:misc_RNA from 1 species